UGCAGCGGGACUCCGUGCACUUUCGUUUCAAGCGAUGCGAUCGCAUUUAUGCAAAUUAGCAGAGUAUAGACGUAGUAGAAGAGGUGUUCCCAAAUUCCCAACAGACUACUAAAUUCCACACGGACGUAAGCAGUGAUUGGUCGUUAUCAUCUGAUUUUGACAUAGAUAGACAUAUGGAUUUUGAUGAAUUUUUGUGGUUAUGUAAGUAUAUUUUUUGUCUGUCUGAUUGACACUUUCUUGUUUCUUGUUUUUGAAAAAUUUGUUCAAUAAUGGAAAUAUGAAGACGUGGAAAGAUAUGCAGAAAGUUGAGACAAGUUAUGUAAGGUCUAGAACAGUUCACACAAAGAAACAAGAUGAUUUAUACUAUGAGUAUAGUUUUUAAUCAAUUUCAUGCUAUGAGUGUAACAGAAAUAACAUAAUAUACAAGGAGUAUAGAUGCUAGGAGAGUAUAUUAUAUUCAUUGAUGUGGAUAUAAGCCCAACUAUAAAAUAAUUAGGACAGAGAAACCUGUUCCAUUCAUUGUCCCUCCAGACUGAUUUGCAAACUGUGAGAUCAAGGACAGCUUUCUAUCAGUUAUGUAUUGGAAAACACAUGCUGGACAUGCUGAACCAUGCAUCUGUAAAAACUACAAGAAAAAAUGGUUGUAGAGAAAUUAAUGAGGUGCCACCCAAUAAAAUUUCAUGAGAUUCAAGAAUGUGAAGAUACAUGAGCAAUUUCAGGUAGGGAUCCUAUUAAAUUACAUAAUGUAACUUUAACACAGGUAUAUGAAAGUGAGUGUAAGGCAGUGGUCUCCAAUAAACACUGUACACGGCCUAAGGCAUCUAUUGGAUACCACCAGUUAAGUCGGUGGCUACUACAAAUUACUCUGUAAUUUGAAUUUGUUUUAGAAUUACUCUUUUCUGUAACUCUUUUCGGUUGUAAGAUAGUUUUCUGUCCUUCAAAGUUUAUUAAAAGAACGAAAAUGAACAAUUUUCCUACAGCGUGACAUACGCAGCC